rnacentral:lncRNA from 1 species
CAAAAGAUAGCCUAAUGAUGAGACUUUUCUGCCACUUUGCUGUUACUAGACUCCAGGGAGUAAAUGUCUUAUUAUUAUAAAAAGGGAAAUUAUGAGCUUUUUCUCCAAGAGCUAUAAGACAAUCUUAUCUUCAUUUUCAUUCUUCCAGGUGGUUAUGUUGAACAUGUAAAUAUUCUCCCUGCUGUGAGUAUUACUGCAGCUGCCCAAAGAUGCUAUAUUUUAAAGAUGUGGAUACAGGAAGAUAAAAGCAUCAGAAACACUGCAUGAGGGUGGAGCAGGCAUGGAGAGCAACCCUACAAGGGCAGUCAAUAAAGGAAAGACAUUUGAUCUUAGCCAAAAGGCUGAGAAUUGAUUAAUAAAGGAUAGAAACAAGGUAUGUGUGCUUACAUGUAUUCUAUCAUUGUUGGGUAU